GUAAGAUUGCAGAUUCCAAGCUAUACAUGAUUUUUAUGCUUAAUUAUACAUAAAAUUAUUUGAUUUUUAUUUAUACAAAUAACUAAACUUUAUACUAAAUUAUUAAAAUUGUUGUUGCUAUCAAAAAAUUUUAUUAGAAUUAUUGAAAAAAGAUGGAUUUGAUAAACGGACAGGAUUUCAAAAUCUUGCAUCGAAAGUUGCUAAUCUUGAAGUAGAAGACGAAUAUACCGAUCUUAAUGUGCCCAUUGAAUACAAACUACAAGUGGAAAAAGCUAUUGAAAACUACGAUAUGUUACCAGAACAAUUAAGUGCUUAUGGGCUGACUUAUAUGUACCAUCUUUUAGAUUUAGUUAAAAGACCCGAACAAAUGCAACCACCUGAAACAUGGUGUAAGAUUUCCGAAUGUUUAGAAGAGUAUUUAGAAUCAGAUACUCCAUUUGACAAAUAUAUCAAUUAUGCAUCAAUAAAAAUAAAUAAAGUUUCUCCGGGUAUUCGUUUUUGUUAUAUUAAAA